rnacentral:rRNA from 1 species
GGGGGAAUCUUAGACAAUGGGGGCAACCCUGAUCUAGCCAUGCCGCGUGAGUGAAGAAGGCCUUAGGGUCGUAAUGCUCUUUCGCUGGGGAAGAUAAUGACGGUACCCAGUAAAGAAACCCCGGCUAACUCCGUGCCAGCAGCCGCGGUAAUACGGAGGGGGUUAGCGUUGUUCGGAAUUACUGGGCGUAAAGCGCGCGUAGGCGGAUCGGAAAGUUGGGGGUGAAAUCCCGGGGCUCAACCCUGGAAUG